rnacentral:tRNA from 1 species
GUCCAUCUGGCCGAGCGGUCUAAGGCGCUGCGUUCAGGAUGCGGUCUACUUCGGUAGGCGCAGGUUCGAAUCCUGCGGCGGACA